UACGUAGGGUGCAAGCGUUGUCCGGAAUUAUUGGGCGUAAAGAGCUCGUAGGCGGUCUGUCGCGUCGGAUGUGAAAAUCCAGGGCUCAACCCUGGACCUGCAUUCGAUACGGGCAGACUAGAGUUCGGUAGGGGAGACUGGAAUUCCUGGUGUAGCGGUGAAAUGCGCAGAUAUCAGGAGGAACACCGGUGGCGAAGGCGGGUCUCUGGGCCGAAACUGACGCUGAGGAGCGAAAGCGUGGGGAGCAAAAAGG
rnacentral:rRNA from 1 species